rnacentral:tRNA from 1 species
GUUAAGGUGACAGAAUUAGGUAACUGCUAAAAGACCCAAGCUCUUCCUGCAGAGGUUCAACCCCUCUCCUUAACU